AGUCACACAUGUGCAUGGUUUCCAAUCUAUGUCUGGUGGUAUGGUCCAUUUGCGUUCUGCAUUUAGACAAUACUGCUCACAUAUAGUCUGUGGCCAAAGAACAAGUUGAGAUCAUAGUACUGGUCUAGUGAUGUCGAAAGACAAGCUUUCCACUGAUCAGCCUCCAAAUUCUCAAACAUGC